GAUGAACGCUGGCGGCGUGCUUAACACAUGCAAGUCGAACGGAAAGGCUCCUGCUUGCAGGGGUACUCGAGUGGCGAACGGGUGAGUAACACAUGGGUGAUCUGCCCUGCACUUCGGGAUAAGCUUGGGAAACUGGGUCUAAUACCGGAUAGGACCGCAUUUUGGAUGGUGUGGUGGAAAGUUUUUUCGGUGUGGGAUGAGCUCGCGGCCUAUCAGCUUGUUGGUGGGGUAAUGGCCUACCAAGGCGUCGACGGGUAGCCGGCCUGAGAGGGUGUACGGCCACAUUGGGACUGAGAUACGGCCCAGACCCCUACGGGAGGCAGCAGUGGGGAAUAUUGCACAAUGGGCGCAAGCCUGAUGCAGCGACGCCGCGUGGGGGAUGACGGCCUUCGGGUUGUAAACUCCUUUCGCUAGGGACGAAGAGUAAUUGACGGUACCUGGAGAAGAAGCACCGGCUAACUACGUG
rnacentral:rRNA from 1 species